rnacentral:misc_RNA from 1 species
AACGCACAUUGCGCCUUCCUUAACCGGGGGGCAUGCCUGUCUGAGCGUCAUUUAAACCUAUGGAUCCUAACUGGGUUCCGUGUUGGGCUUUGCUUCUAUCCAAGUGGCAUUGCCUUGAAGGUAUUGGCUUUAAUAGAGCGGACGGGAUCCUUAUGGACUGACCGUUUUAUGGCCAGAAUUUGACUCUGAUUUGACCUCAGAUCAGGUAGGAAUACCGCCUGAACUUAA